GUGGGGAAUAUUGGACAAUGGGCGCAAGCCUGAUCCAGCCAUGCCGCGUGAGUGAUGAAGGCCUUAGGGUUGUAAAGCUCUUUCACCGAUGAAGAUAAUGACGGUAGUCGGAGAAGAAGCCCCGGCUAACUUCGUGCCAGCAGCCGCGGUAAUACGAAGGGGGCUAGCGUUGUUCGGAUUUACCGGGCGUAAAGCGCACGUAGGCGGUUUGUUAAGUCAGGGGUGAAAUCCCGGAGCUCAACUCCGGAACUGCCUUUGAUACUGGCAAGCUAGAGUCCGGAAGAGGUAAGUGGAACUCCUAGUGUAGAGGUGGAAUUCGUAGAUAUUAGGAAGAACACCAGUGGCGAAGGCGGCUUACUGGUCCGGAACUGACGCUGAGGUGCGAAAGCGUGGGGAGCAAACAGGAUUAGAAACCCGAGUAGUCC
rnacentral:rRNA from 1 species